CCUACGGGAGGCAGCAGUGAGGAAUAUUGGUCAAUGGGCGGAAGCCUGAACCAGCCAAGUAGCGUGCAGGAUGACGGCCCUACGGGUUGUAAACUGCUUUUAUACGGGAAUAACGCGCCUUCCGUGUAGGGCUUUGCAUGUACCGUAUGAAUAAGGACCGGCUACUUCCGUGCCAGCAGCCGCGUUAAGACGGAAGGUCCGGGCGUUAUCCGGAUUUAUUGGGUUUAAGGGGGGCGUAGGGCGCAUGUCAAUCGGGCUGUGAAAUGCCCGGGCUCAACCCGGGCCUUGCAGCGCGAACUGGCGUGCUUGAGUGCGCGGAAAGCAGGCGGAAUUCGUCGUGUAGCGGUGAAAUGCAUAGAUAUGACGAAGAACCCCGAUUGCGAAGGCAGCUUGCUGCAGCGGAACUGACGCUGAUGCUCGAAAGCGCGGGUAUCGAACAGGAUUAGAUACCCUGGUAGUC
rnacentral:rRNA from 1 species